GAACUACAACUUUUUCAAAUAUUGACCAAUGGGCUACUGCGAAUUUCCCGAGUGGUCAACUCAUCGCCCAUUUCAAGAACGUGCUUCAGUUCUUCAAGUUCUUGAAUGCCACACUUCCUCGUCUCGUAGAUUCCGGAGGGGCAAUACUCAUCGGAGUAGACGGUCGCGAUGGUUGAUGAUCUGCUUCACUUAGAUGUCCCCGAUUAAAGGAGCCCAUUGAGCUGUGCGAACUCGAUCUACUGUUGAAGGCUGCUUGUCUUACUGCUGGAGGGAAGUAAUGAAUAGGAGAAGGAGGGACAGUUGAAGAAGCAAUUCCGCUUUCAUGAUCAGAGGACGCUUCAUCAUUCUCUGGUGUGUUCUUCAUUCUCUUAUCCCGUUUGCACAAUUCUUAUUAUUUCUAGUGUGAACUUAAUAUUCCAACUUGAACAAUUGUUUUUCAAUAAUAAUAUAGGGGCACAGACAAACU